GUCCUACGGGGGGGGCAGCAGUAGGGAAUCUUCCGCAAUGGACGAAAGUCUGACGGAGCAACGCCGCGUGAGUGAUGAAGGCUUUCGGGUCGUAAAACUCUGUUGUUAGGGAAGAACAAGUACAAGAGUAACUGCUUGUACCUUGACGGUACCUAACCAGAAAGCCACGGCUAACUACGUGCCAGCAGCCGCGGUAAUACGUAGGUGGCAAGCGUUAUCCGGAAUUAUUGGGCGUAAAGCGCGCGCAGGCGGUUUCUUAAGUCUGAUGUGAAAGCCCACGGCUCAACCGUGGAGGGUCAUUGGAAACUGGGGAACUUGAGUGCAGAAGAGAAAAGCGGAAUUCCACGUGUAGCGGUGAAAUGCGUAGAGAUGUGGAGGAACACCAGUGGCGAAGGCGGCUUUUUGGUCUGUAACUGACGCUGAGGCGCGAAAGCGUGGGGAGCAAACAGGAUUAGAUACCCC
rnacentral:rRNA from 1 species